AAAUUCUCAAAGUAAACCUUUUGUUAAUUCAACUGGCCUUGCUUUGGAUUUGGAGGUCUUGCAGAUGUCACAGUCUGCUCCUCUUAAAUAUAUUAGCUGGAUCUCAGUAUACACUUGGUUCCACUCGGCGUGAUAAGUAUCACUCGCUGAGGACACUGUAAAAGGUGGCCAGGCAAUGCAGAUGAACCGCUUCUAAUAGUCCAUUCACUUGGACAAUUACAUUUAUG
rnacentral:misc_RNA from 2 species